GAGGAGCUCCUGCGUCCCCUCCAGAGGCCCCUCACAUGGUCGGGGAAGCGGCCUCGGAAGGCGAGUGAAGGGAUCGGCCUUGACCCAAAGCCAGCAGCAUGGGGGCCUCCCGUUCAGGACGCUUGGGCUCUGCGGAUGCGCUGCAAGGUUUCCAGAAGAUGGAGACACCGAGGUCCUGGCUAUUCAACAACCCACGCGACACAGCUCAGAGAGCCUGGGAGUCCCAGAGCCUCAGCCUGAUUUUCUGCAGUGACGAGGGCUCUG